rnacentral:tRNA from 1 species
GGUUCGUUAGUUCAGUGGUUAGAAUGGCGCCUUGUCACGGCGCAGACACGGGUUCGAUAUCCCGUACGAACCGCCA